rnacentral:rRNA from 1 species
GAUAAACGCUGGCGGCGUGCCUAAUACAUGCAAGUCGAGCGAACGGACGAGAAGCUUGCUUCUCUGAUGUUAGCGGCGGACGGGUGAGUAACACGUGGAUAACCUACCUAUAAGACUGGGAUAACUUCGGGAAACCGGAGCUAAUACCGGAUAAUAUUUUGAACCGCAUGGUUCAAAAGUGAAAGACGGUCUUGCUGUCACUUAUAGAUGGAUCCGCGCUGCAUUAGCUAGUUGGUAAGGUAACGGCUUACCAAGGCAACGAUGCAUAGCCGACCUGAGAGGGUGAUCGGCCACACUGGAACUGAGACACGGUCCAGACUCCUACGGGAGGCAGCAGUAGGGAAUCUUCCGCAAUGGGCGAAAGCCUGACGGAGCAACGCCGCGUGAGUGAUGAAGGUCUUCGGAUCGUAAAACUCUGUUAUUAGGGAAGAACAUAUGUGUAAGUAACUGUGCACAUCUUGACGGUACCUAAUCAGAAAGCCACGGCUAACUACGUGCCAGCAGCCGCGGUAAUACGUAGGUGGCAAGCGUUAUCCGGAAUUAUUGGGCGUAAAGCGCGCGUAGGCGGUUUUUUAAGUCUGAUGUGAAAGCCCACGGCUCAACCGUGGAGGGUCAUUGGAAACUGGAAAACUUGAGUGCAGAAGAGGAAAGUGGAAUUCCAUGUGUAGCGAUGAAAUGCGCAGAGAUAUGGAGGAACACCAGUGGCGAAGGCGACUUUCUGGUCUGUAACUGACGCUGAUGUGCGAAAGCGUGGGGAUCAAACAGGAUUAGAUACCCUGGUAGUCCACGCCGUAAACGAUGAGUGCUAAGUGUUAGGGGGUUUCCGCCCCUUAGUGCUGCAGCUAACGCAUUAAGCACUCCGCCUGGGGAGUACGACCGCAAGGUUGAAACUCAAAGGAAUUGACGGGGACCCGCACAAGCGGUGGAGCAUGUGGUUUAAUUCGAAGCAACGCGAAGAACCUUACCAAAUCUUGACAUCCUUUGACAACUCUAGAGAUAGAGCCUUCCCCUUCGGGGGACAAAGUGACAGGUGGUGCAUGGUUGUCGUCAGCUCGUGUCGUGAGAUGUUGGGUUAAGUCCCGCAACGAGCGCAACCCUUAAGCUUAGUUGCCAUCAUUAAGUUAGGCACUCUAAGUUGACUGCCGGUGACAAACCGGAGGAAGGUGGGGAUGACGUCAAAUCAUCAUGCCCCUUAUGAUUUGGGCUACACACGUGCUACAAUGGACAAUGCAAAGGGCAGCGAAACCGCGAGGUCAAGCAAAUCCCAUAAAGUUGUUCUCAGUUCGGAUUGUAGUCUGCAACUCGACUACAUGAAGCUGGAAUCGCUAGUAAUCGUAGAUCAGCAUGCUACGGUGAAUACGUUCCCGGGUCU